AAGGAAUUUUGGAUGCCAUCUGUUCCAGCCAUUUAGUGAAUAAAAAAACUGAGGCCUAGAGAGGUAGAUUUUCUCAGGUCACAAUCUAGUUCAGAGCAGAACCUGGAAUAAAAGCCCUGGCUUUGAUUCAGGCUCUUGACUUUUUUUCAGGCUUCUUUUGUCUUUAUUAUCACAAGCAGAUGUCAGCUCUGAAGCUGCCUGGUGGUGGAAAUGGGGUGUGGAUGAGCGAUAGAAGCUUUGAGGAGCCCAGCUCGCCAUUUCUCUUUGCAUCUCACCAUCGCAGUCAAAACUUAUCCCAUCUGUGUCUUGGGAGAAGUUGGAAGGAUAUCGCAGCAUUCAAGCAGCCCAGAGGGAAAGGAAGCUCCCAAACUUCGGAUCUGAAAAGGCAGGAGCCAGGCUUGGGGGAAACACACUUACACACUGCACAUCAACAAACAAACAAAUGGCCGGCCAUCUGAGCCAGGCUGGUGCCUCUCUGGAAAGUGAAAAUAUAGCACAGAAUAAGACACUAACAGUUUCCAUAUCUGUGAAACUUGGGUGGUCAACACAGAGACGCCAUCUCACCAUAUUUGUGCUCACCAUUACUUUUCCUUUGAACCUUUUGGAGUCAAGAACUUUGCUGAGGGAAUUCAAGCCUCUUGUGUUCAAGAACUGUAACAUCUCUCUUUUAAGAAACAAAUUCUCUACUAGUACCUAGGACUUUGCUUCUUGUGCAUGGAAUAAAUGUUUAUUGAAUGAAGUGUUGAGUUCUUGG
rnacentral:lncRNA from 1 species